CACCGCGCUACCGGCUUCAGCAACUUGUCCUGAUUAGUGAAAUCACUUAAACCCAUACAGUUUAUUAACUGUCGUUUCGUAAUCACAAAAUGUCUCAAAAUUGCAAGACGACAUACACAGCAGCAACGACGAGGGAUGCAAACAACAACACCUUAUACCAUGGUGCGGUGGCCCAGGGAUACGGAGGUAGGGGGUACUCGCCCCCCACAGUUACCACCAAUGGAAAUUACCAUCAGCAAGUGACGGCGAAAGUCCUCUUCGGCAGCGUUACGACGAUCAAUGACCUCAGCUACAAGCGCCAGGAGAAGGCCGAACGGGAGGUGCGACGGACGCACUAGCUCCAACUAGCGACAGACAACGAAAAUGUGAUAAGAAAUUUAUGGAAGCCGAAGGAGUGAUCUCGGAAGACAGAAUAAUGUUAAAAAUAACUUGCAUAACGUAUUUUACCUAGUGUUUUACUGUUAGGUAGACUUCAUGAAGUACAUACUUAGAUAUUUUGUUGUAAAAUACAUUAAAUUAAUGUUAUUAUAUUAUAUAUACUAACCUUUUAUUCUAUUAUCUAAUUUUUAUGUCACAAAAAUAUAAUCUAUAUUUGCUUUAAAAUAAGCAUUUUUAAUCUGGUUUCUUGAUGCACGUCGUGAAUGGUUUUGAGUUUAUUUUUGUUUUGUUUUAUAACAUUUUAUUAUAAUUAAUCAUAGCCUGUGAUCUGUUGUAAUUAUUACAUAGCUAGGUAUAUGUACUCGUUAUAUCUGAAUACUAUAAUUAUAGUUCUGGCAUACAUUUGUGCCGAUUUUCUUACAUUAUGCCUAUACGGGGUCCAAUGUAUUGACACGAAAUUAUUUACUUUAUUUCUAUAAAUCCAUAUAACUAUACUAAUAAAUACUCAAUUAGAGUUAAAUUAGACGUAAUUUAAAUUUACAAUUUAGAUUUUAAAAAUUCGGGUUUUGAAACGAGCCA